UUAAAGAGCGGGUCAAUUGAGCCUCGGAGUCCUUCUCCACCCACGUAUCAAUUUUAAAAAAUGCAACAUUAGUAGGCGUUGCCUGGAGGACCGAGAGGGCGGAGCCGCGGCAGUGACGAAGACGAUGGCUAACUAGACGAAGCUAGCUCCCUUCACUCUGAGCAGUUGAUAGAAGUGGAGGACGUUUCUCCCCCUCCUUACAGACACUCGAGAAGAAAGGGACCAAGUCUAUUUGGAGGAGACAAGCGGACCUGAGUCUUAUUGUUUUGAGCUUGUGAGUUGCCUGAAACUCCCAGAACCGACCCAACAGAAUCACCUCUGAAAGGUCCUCUGGUGUCUGCAGCUGGUCUCCUCUGCUGGUGUCCUCAGGAUCAGGAACUUCCAGAAGAAUGUGCCUUUCAAUGACUCUUUCCCCCUUAUUUGUUAUAUUAAUUAAAUAAAUCUCAAUUUAUAUA